UACGAAGGGGGCGAGCGUUGUUCGGAUUUACUGGGCGUAAAGGGCGCGCAGGCGGCGCAUUUUGUCAGGCGUGAAAGCCCCGGGCUUAACCUGGGAACUGCGUUUGAUACGGAUGGGCUAGAGUUCGGGAGAGGAGAGUGGAAUUCCCAGUGUAGAGGUGAAAUUCGUAGAUAUUGGGAAGAACACCGGUGGAGAAGGCGGCUCUCUGGACCGAGACUGACGCUGAGGCGCGAAAGCGUGGGGAGCAAACAGG
rnacentral:rRNA from 1 species